rnacentral:ncRNA from 1 species
UAACUCUGGAAAGAAGGUUUUUUGCCUCACCGAAGGAGUAAAUCUCUCAGGUAACCGGACAGAGGGGG